CUUCCCUCUAUGACUGUCUAUCAACGUUUCUAGGAGCUGUGUAUUUAUGUGUGGGGAGACAAGAGGAUGUGGUUUCUUUCUGGACUCUGAAGAGUUCAGUCUGUAAUGAGUCCCUAAUUUACUUAUCUAUCUACAUUCUUGUCCUCCAGCUGACAUCUGUCAAGAAGGUGGGAGUGGGCAGAUUCCCUGUUCCAAUGAUGUCAUUAACCAUUGAAAAGGACGGCCGUCACUUCCCAGUGACCCUUUGGAGGGAGGCUGCAACUUCCCACCUUGUGGGCAUUGGGUCCUUGGUGCAAGUCACACACCUUAAAGUAAAACAGGGUGGGACUGAGACCCUCCAGUCCACAAACUACACGGAGAUCAAACAUGGACUUCAGUGUACUGAAAUCCAAGGCUGGGAAGCCUUAUUCUAACUCCCGCCUCUUCAUGUUGCUAUUUUGUGUAGCAAGGAGGAGGAGAAGACACUCUCAUGGAGUAUCAGUGGAGAGGGGGUAUCCAAAGGGAUGACAAAAAAAAACAAAAAACGGGUCAUUGCAAUGACUGAUGGAAAGGAGGUGGAAAGAGUCGUGUUGUUUGAGUCAGUCAGCCUGACAUUCAGUGAGAAAAAGGGUAACAUAUUGAUCGGGAAGCCUGCUCUGAAGAGGAGGUUAAUGCUCUGGGAACCAUGGAGGCUGAGGGCAGGCCAGGGAUGCUGCAUCUACUGACAGCAACUGGACAGCACCUCAUUUCUGAGGCAUUGUGGAGGGAGUUGGAGGCUGAUUUCAAGGAGCUGCCAUUUUAUUUAAGGAUCAUUUUGAGGGGAGGGGUAAAUUACAGAGGCGGAGGUGGUGGGGAGGAAGGGGGAGGAAGCAGAAGGAGAGGACAAAGGUAAAAUAAGGGCCCAGUAGAGGGAGAAUUCGUUGUUUAUGAAAUGUUUAAUGUAUUUGUUUAGUUUAUAGUUAUUUGAGUUGCAUUCAUCAGUUUUGGUUAUUUCUUGUUAUUUGUUCAAUAAAUUCUUUGUUAUUAAUUUA